rfam:Enterococcus mundtii QT 25 DNA, complete genome.
UAUUAUGAGAGUUUGAUCCUGGCUCAGGACGAACGCUGGCGGCGUGCCUAAUACAUGCAAGUCGAACGCCUCUUUUCCCACCGGAGCUUGCUCCACCGGGAAAAGAGGAGUGGCGAACGGGUGAGUAACACGUGGGUAACCUGCCCAUCAGAAGGGGAUAACACUUGGAAACAGGUGCUAAUACCGUAUAACAAUCGAAACCGCAUGGUUUCGUUUUGAAAGGCGCUUUACGGUGCCGCUGAUGGAUGGACCCGCGGUGCAUUAGCUAGUUGGUGAGGUAACGGCUCACCAAGGCCACGAUGCAUAGCCGACCUGAGAGGGUGAUCGGCCACAUUGGGACUGAGACACGGCCCAAACUCCUACGGGAGGCAGCAGUAGGGAAUCUUCGGCAAUGGACGAAAGUCUGACCGAGCAACGCCGCGUGAGUGAAGAAGGUUUUCGGAUCGUAAAACUCUGUUGUUAGAGAAGAACAAGGGUGAGAGUAACUGUUCACCCCUUGACGGUAUCUAACCAGAAAGCCACGGCUAACUACGUGCCAGCAGCCGCGGUAAUACGUAGGUGGCAAGCGUUGUCCGGAUUUAUUGGGCGUAAAGCGAGCGCAGGCGGUUUCUUAAGUCUGAUGUGAAAGCCCCCGGCUCAACCGGGGAGGGUCAUUGGAAACUGGGAGACUUGAGUGCAGAAGAGGAGAGUGGAAUUCCAUGUGUAGCGGUGAAAUGCGUAGAUAUAUGGAGGAACACCAGUGGCGAAGGCGGCUCUCUGGUCUGUAACUGACGCUGAGGCUCGAAAGCGUGGGGAGCAAACAGGAUUAGAUACCCUGGUAGUCCACGCCGUAAACGAUGAGUGCUAAGUGUUGGAGGGUUUCCGCCCUUCAGUGCUGCAGCUAACGCAUUAAGCACUCCGCCUGGGGAGUACGACCGCAAGGUUGAAACUCAAAGGAAUUGACGGGGGCCCGCACAAGCGGUGGAGCAUGUGGUUUAAUUCGAAGCAACGCGAAGAACCUUACCAGGUCUUGACAUCCUUUGACCACUCUAGAGAUAGAGCUUCCCCUUCGGGGGCAAAGUGACAGGUGGUGCAUGGUUGUCGUCAGCUCGUGUCGUGAGAUGUUGGGUUAAGUCCCGCAACGAGCGCAACCCUUAUUGUUAGUUGCCAUCAUUUAGUUGGGCACUCUAGCAAGACUGCCGGUGACAAACCGGAGGAAGGUGGGGAUGACGUCAAAUCAUCAUGCCCCUUAUGACCUGGGCUACACACGUGCUACAAUGGGAAGUACAACGAGUCGCGAAGUCGCGAGGCUAAGCUAAUCUCUUAAAGCUUCUCUCAGUUCGGAUUGUAGGCUGCAACUCGCCUACAUGAAGCCGGAAUCGCUAGUAAUCGCGGAUCAGCACGCCGCGGUGAAUACGUUCCCGGGCCUUGUACACACCGCCCGUCACACCACGAGAGUUUGUAACACCCGAAGUCGGUGAGGUAACCUUUUUGGAGCCAGCCGCCUAAGGUGGGAUAGAUGAUUGGGGUGAAGUCGUAACAAGGUAGCCGUAUCGGAAGGUGCGGCUGGAUCACCUCCUUU